rnacentral:rRNA from 1 species
ACGAACGUUGGCGGCGUGCUUAAUACAUGCAAGUCAACUGAAGCAGUGGUAGCAAUAUCGCUGUGGAGGUGGCGCACGGGUGAGUAACACGUAGGUAAUCUGCCUUCAGGUCUGGCAUAACUCCGGGAAACCGGGGCUAAUAGCAGAUGAUGCAGCGGCUCGACAUCGAGACAGUUGUUAAAGCUAUGGCGCCUGAAGAUGAGCCUGCGUCUGAUUAGCUAGUUGGCGGGGUAACGGCCCACCAAGGCAACGAUCAGUAGCUGGUCUGAGAGGAUGAUCAGCCACACUGGAACUGAGACACGGUCCAGACUCCUACGGGAGGCAGCAGUAAGGAAUACUGCUCAAUGGGAGAAAUCCUGAAGCAGCAACGCCGCGUGAGGGACGAAGGGCUUUUGCUUGUAAACCUCUGUAGUGAGAGAAAAAAAUCCCAAUCUUUGGGACAUGAUGGUAUCUCAAGAGUAAGCCCCGGCUAACUACGUG